UACGGGGGGGGCAAGCGUUGUUCGGAAUUACUGGGCGUAAAGGGUUCGUAGGUGGCCAACUAAGUCAGACGUGAAAUCCCUCAGCUCAACUGGGGAACUGCGUCUGAUACUGGUUGGCUUGAGUGCAGGAGAGGAACGCGGAAUUCCAGGUGUAGCGGUGAAAUGCGUAGAUAUCUGGAGGAACACCGGUGGCGAAGGCGACGUUCUGGACUGCAACUGACACUGAGGAACGAAAGCCAGGGGAGCAAACGGG
rnacentral:rRNA from 1 species